CGUGCGAGCUCCUGCCUUUCACAGAGCCGCCCGGAACUCCAGGCACUGGCAGCGGGCAGGUUCUGCACGGCGGCGGCACGAACGCCCCGCAGGGUUACAGGUACUCACACAACUCAUUGUCUGUUCUUGGAAGGAUAAAAGCAUCAAUGAAGUCUAUCAUCACCUUUUAAGUCUAUUGCUUCAGUCUGUUGUAAAAUUACCUGUUGGGUCCUACUGAAGACCGUCAAAGUGUAUCAUUUACUUACCAUUUUCAUCUACUGCCAGGACACAGGCCCCUUUGGCCAGCAACUCUUCAACCACCAUCUUCAGGCCAUUCCGUGCAGCAAUAUGAAGAGGUCUACAAAAGCACAACAACUAAAUUCAACUUCAGUUUACAACAGAUUUUCUAAACAAAGUUAGGCAAUGCUUAAAGCAUACCCAGCAUCUGAAAGAGAAUGGUUUCCUUCCUUGGAUCAUUAGAAUUAUAUCCUAGACACUAAAAUUUUAUUGCAGCCUUUGAAAUAGUUGUCAUGUUCCACAUCUAUAAAACAAGAAAUUUUUUUUGUGCAAGCACACAAGGAUUGCUUAAUACUUUCCAGCCUAAAGACUUUCUUUAAAAGGUUCUCAUUUUUGCACUGUUUGCAGCACACAAUUGAAAAAAAAAAAGGAAAAGGAAUCCAAGACUGAAGAAAUGCCUAUGUUCUGUCCUUAAUUCUGGCUGCUACAGGUUGUUCAAUAUCAUUGUAUUGCCUUUUUAUCCUUGAAUACUCAAUUGCUAAUCUCUGCUACUGCAGAGCAGCUGGAAAUUAAAAAUAGCCAUUGGUUUGCUCCUUUCCUGGCCCAACACCCAAUGCUCUGGUUUGGGGACAGCUAGCAGGACAGGAAAAACAUUUUCAUCUUGGAAGAGGGGGAAAAAAGGGCUAAGAUGGAAUAAAUUCUUCUGCAAGCUCCAGGUGAUCUGCCACCAGAACUCAUGGCUGAAUCUCCUGUGGUGGGAUUCCCCAUGCCAACAAACAGUUGCAGCUGAUAACAUAUGCUAUGGACAGAAGUUCCACAUCAAAUAUCACCUAAAAAACCUUCAGAGAACUAAAUGUACCACCUUAAGUCUAAGUAAGUCUAAAUAAAUUAUUUAAAUUUAGGAUGAAGUUCACUAGAAAAUGCCAGAUGUAUACUUCCAUGUUCACGUGAUUAAUAGACAUUUUGAUAUAGUCUUUAAAUAAAUGACCUCAUAUAAUUUUUCCACCAGAUCAAGCAUAGAAAUGUCACGAGCAGAAUCAAAAUUAAAAGUGAGAGUGCAAUAUAAUUUGGGACUUUCUCAAGGGAAAGCAUUCCAAAAAAUCAGAAAUUAACUUUACUGUUCUAUUAAGUAAUCUGAGACAUGAAUUUGAAGUGGUAAACUGGAAUAUUCUGGUAAAUCAACUGAACUUGAGAGGAUCAGGCUAUACUUACGUCUGCAAUGCAUUAUUUUUUGCAUUAAUAAGGCUCUGUUCUUGGAUCUUGUCAAGUAUUAACAAGGCACAUUUUUCAUGACCCUGUAGCCAGGGAAAAAAAAAACAAAACAAAGAGUGUUAAUUUGCUGAGGAGUUUGAAAUUGAGGCAAAAGAAAUGUUACAUAAUAAAAGUGAAAUUUAAUAACUCAACUUGAAAUACAAAAGAUGCUGCUCAGUAAGCCUGUGUAGAAGGUAAACUAAGCAAGUCUUAAAAUACCACUUGUGAACCACCACUGCUGGGAUGUUUUAGCACAUUUAGGAAUGUAGACAUUCACCUGUCUUUCAACCCUGCAUUCAUUCAAUAUGAAUUCACUUCCUCAGCUUUCAGAGAAUGCUGUUUUCUCUUGAGUGAACGUUCAGUGGAUGAUUUAUCAGAACUACACAGUGACAGAGAAUGCUUUCAUCUCAGAAAUGAAUACCACACUUUGUGGGUCUUUAAAUGCCUUUCUGUAUUAUUAAUAAGCUGCUAGAAAACCUCUUCAGUGUCAGAGAGCUCCAACAAUGGAACUUUGGGGAUAAUACAGAUCCAGGCCUUCUUUCUGAUCCUGUUUCUGCACCACAAGUUGCAGAGGCUGAGCCUACAGUCCUGGCAGGGUGACAGCUGCCUGAAGGACCUUGAGAAUUCAGCAAGGCUCAUGUGUCUGCAGAAACUGGAGUAAUAUGAUCACACUGGAAUCCAUUCUGUGGAUAGGAGCAAAAGAAAAGGCCCAGGAAAGGGAAUCCUCUCUGCAUUUUUUCUUGCAGAAAUAGCAGUAGAAAUUGGAAUUAAGAGGAAGAAGGCUUAGGAAGAGACACCAUCACCCAUCUAAUCAAUACCUCUGGUUUCACUCCUGCUUUGUUAAGGGAAAAUUUUGGUCUCCUUUCACAGGAAUUGGAGAUAAAUAAAAAAUAAUUUUAUUUUUC